UCCGAGCACCUGUUUUGGGAUAUAUACAGCUAAUUAACCGUAAAUAACUGCGAGAUAAUGAAUAACAAGUUGAUAAUUGUCUAGUAUUCUCUGCUAAUUAAUGUACCUGCAAUUCACCCUGAUUCAUUUGUGAGACCACCGACACUAAUAAUAUUACCUCAAAGUUAGAGGUUCUCCGUUACUGGGAACUUCAUAUCGGAUCCGAUCAAUUUAUUGGUUCCAUUCCCCCUAGUAUUAAUGAUCCAUUUGCAGUGACGAUGACAAUCAUAGUUUAGGGCAAGAAAUAUAGAAGAUAAAGAAAAAUAUAAACAAUUACAACUGUACAGUAGAAAUGAUUGGCAAAACAAGAUUUAUUAACAGAAGACAACAAGGCCUAAAUGGUGAGACUUCUUGGUUUUCAUGAUCAUCAACAGAUCAAUACAGAAGAGGAAACUUAAGGUUAAUGCUUUUCUACAUUGUGUGCUAAUUGGAUUAAUGUGAAAUGAAAUGUGUGCUUACCUGGAAAAAGAAAAUAGGAAAUUUCUACAAAAUGGUUGUAAACAAAAUGGAGUACAAUCAUAGAUGCACAAGAACACAAUUGUGUAAUUGCAACAACCUACAUAUUCACUGAAGGAUUAUGGAGAAAUGUAGAAAAAAUAGUAUUUUGUUGUCGAAAUAAACACCUGCUUUAUCCAUUCAUGUACAUUAUCUCUGUCACAUAAAAUAUACACAGGGGCGUAGCUAGGCCAAUAUGAUGUGUACUCAAUGCCGAAGGAGGAAGUCAAACGGCAGGGGUUUGGGGCAAGUUCUGGGUAAAAGGUGCAAAAUCCUGCACCGGCAUUCUCACAAUUUCCUGGGAAUUAAAAUGACCUCGCCGAAAUCUUAUUUUCAUGAGUAACAAGUCAACUUUUGAAAAAAAAAUUGAAAAAAAAACAAAAUAUUAAUUAGAGAAAAACAAACAAGUACUGUUGGCUUAUGAAUUUGGAUUUUCUAAUGUGUAGUGGGUUGAGCUUAAUUAAAUUAAAUUAAAAGAAUAUUCGUUGCUAGUUAGUUUAGGUUAAAAGGGGUGGUAAAGGGUGGUACUUGCACGGAAAAAACUUUAAAUACAAAGAAGGAAUAACAAUUUCACGGUGAACGUGAAAUAAUUUCGUCCAUGAACGUUGAUAAAAAAGUACUAUAAUGAACGUAUAUCAUAGGUUGGAAACCUCUAACUGGCAAGUAUAUAAUAUAUACGUUUUAAGUCCCGACAUAUGAAUCAAAUCUAUAAGGAAAAUCAUCAAAUUAUUUCAGAUUUCUUUUUAUUAACUCCCUAAACGAUAGUCUUUUAAUUUUACCAAGCAUGGAAUACAAGCACUUUAAAUCUCGAAGCAUGGAAAAUAAGCACUUUUAAUCUCGAAGCACGUAUAAUUAAGUUGGGGAAACACUUUGAACGAGACACCCGUCUUGCACAACCGAACGUAAAAAAUAAAAAAAAAAGUCAAAACACGAUGAUCGUCAAUUUAAAUAAAAAUAAAAAACAAAAAACAAAAAAAAAACGGCAAGCACUAUGCACGAAAUUUACCCUUUAUCAACCCCGUUAAACUUAAGUCAGACUGGACUGUUUAAAAAAAUCUGUUAUGACGACGUAUGUAAUUAAGACUAUACAUACCUCACAUGAAAAUCAUGGGAAUGAACCGUUGUCCAUGGUCUCUUUAGAACGACAUAUUUUAUUUCGUCAGUUAUUUUGAAAUCUUCAGAAAAGAUGUCAGGACUUGGUAAGGAGGCAUAGAAUUGUUUUCUGACACCUCGAGGACCAUUUAUAUUGUUUGCAUCAGCAACAUAAUCAUGAUGCUGGUUCCGUCAAUAAAACGUAAUUUCAGGAACGGAAUAUAGCUACAAAGUGAUUAUUAACAUGUUUGUAAGAUAGUUUUUAAUUUAAUUUAUUACUUUAGUUUUAUUCUUACUAGAUUUACCAUAAUUUUAUUUUUGUAAAAUUUUCGAUGUGUACGCAACUGCAUUUUUGCGUACGGGUUGCUACGCGC